rnacentral:rRNA from 1 species
GAUGGACGCUGGCGGCGUGCCUAAUACAUGCAAGUCGAGCGAACAGACGAGGAGCUUGCUCCUCUGACGUUAGCGGCGGACGGGUGAGUAACACGUGGAUAACCUACCUAUAAGACUGGGAUAACUUCGGGAAACCGGAGCUAAUACCGGAUAAUAUAUUGAACCGCAUGGUUCAAUAGUGAAAGACGGUUUUGCUGUCACUUAUUGAUGGAUCCGCGCCGCAUUAGCUAGUUGGUAAGGUAACGGCUUACCAAGGCAACGAUGCGUAGCCGACCUGAGAGGGUGAUCGGCCACACUGGAACUGAGACACGGUCCAGACUCCUACGGGAGGCAGCAGUAGGGAAUCUUCCGCAAUGGGCGAAAGCUUGACGGAGCAACGCCGCGUGAGUGAUGAAGGUCUUCGGAUCGUAAAACUCUGUUAUUAGGGAAGAACAAAUGUGUAAGUAACUAUGCACGUCUUGACGGUACCUAAUCAGAAAGCCACGGCUAACUACGUG